rnacentral:SRP_RNA from 2 species
GAAGGUUGGAAACGGACGGGCUUCUCGCCAACCCGGUCAGGUCCGAGAGGAAGCAGCCGUAACGAGUUCCAGCCCGGGUCGAUGUCCAACCUUCCAC